ensembl:lncRNA
GGGCUCUGUAAACCUGGAAGCUUAUCUGUAUGAUUGCUGUUAAAGAUCACUUGGUAGCCGAUUACCAAGAGAUAGCCAACUCUCUCAGGGAAUUUUUGGAAGACCAUCAAGGCUCACAUGUUUAACAGGAUGCUGGAGAACAAAUCUUCGAGCUCUGGAAGGCUGGGCAACAGAAAUCGCAUGGCUCAUAUGCUGCUGCUGCGAUGAGUGUGACUUCCAUCUGCCCUGGCGUUACUGCAUCCCUCAUGCUCUCAUCAGCCUGGAAGGAUUGGCCUGGGCAGUGAGAGGAAGAUCUGCCCUUUUGAUCUCCCCUAACUCCCAAGGCGACACACAAAAAGAAGUCCCAAAGAGUGACUGGGGUAGAAUAGGACAGAAAUUUGGAUGCAAGAAAGCCCAAACUAUGACAUAUGUCCACUACAAUAAUUUUAUUUCAUCAAUCAUCAUCUAAUGACUACUGGAUAUAAGCCACACCCUGUGCCAGGUCUUAGAGACCCAAAGAGCCCUCCCUGUGGCCACAAGACGAUGGAUCAGCAGGGACCAUAACAGAAGGCAAGAGCUCAGUUAGAAGACUAUUGUAAUACUCCAGUCAAGAGGCUGCUGUCACACCAGAGAAACUGUCUCUUUUGCCUGGCACUUGUUCUUAUCCAAAGCUGAGUGUAGAAUUAUUCAGGAUGACUAAUGUUUCACCUCAGUCCUAAUGUCCUCCCACCGCAGCUUGAGAGACAGGAGUCCCCAAAGGAUCACAAAGUAACGAAUCUGGGCAGCCAGUGGAAAUGGAUCUCAUUCCAUCUCCAGCAGGUCCUGAGUCUUGUUAUGUAAACCUAGGGGUGUCCACAAGACACAAGCUCCUCUAAUCUAGGAGUCACAGGCUCGAGACCUUCCUCACUCACACCAAGCAGAUGGAGAAGAUUCAAGUUUUGCCACCAUGAAAGUAGGGUCAGAUGUUCAAGUGAAUUCCCAGUUGCCCACUGUGAAUUUAACGCCAAAGUAGCCAGAAGUUGGGAGACUAAGAAGGCAGGACUAUCCUAUGAACUCCGAUAAAUACACAGGGAGCUCUGUUCAGUUUUCCUAGCCGUUUGCAGCUGCACACAUGGGGUAUGGGAAUGUCGACACAUCCUUGCUCUGAGUGUAAUUAAUGACAAUGUGCCCAAUGUGCCAUUGACUCAGACAGAACACCUGACGGAGAUUCCGCUCGAGGCUUCUAUGGUCUCAGGGUGUGGAUGUGCCCGCAUGAACCACGCUGGAGUGUGUGAACAUCACCCUCCUGUUCCUGGCUGACUCAGAAGCAGAUCUAGGAGUCAGAAGACCUGGUUCAAGGCCUAGCCUUGCAAGGCAGCUAAAAACAAGCUUGUUAAUAAUCUCCCAGAGACCCAUCGUGCUCACUACAGGCCAGGCUCUGUCCUAAAUCCCUACAGGUAUUAAUUCAUUUAAUCCUCACAACAACUCCUGAAGCCAGUGCUAUUGUUAUUUGUAUUUGACAACUGAGGCGACUGAGGCAUGGAGGCUAAGCCACUUGCCCAUGCUUACACAGCUACAAUAAUACAAUAAACAGCAUUCAACCCCAGCCCAGCAGCUCCCACGCCUGCGCACUGUUCGCUACUGAGAAGCACGUAGAGAAUGUGGGCCAAAGCCCUGUGGAUCCCUCCAUUGCCAUCUGAAUACAAGUGCUUCUGUUGUUAGCGCUCUGACCGUCAUAGUGAUGGUGAUCCUGUGGGGGGACAUGAGCUCCCUUGGGAAGGGGCAGGUACAAGCACCCCAGCCAUACAUCAAGUCUACAUCUCUUAUUGCUACCCCAAACAAGGGGGUCUUGCUGCUUUCGUAACCAGAUGCCACCAUGGUGAAACUCCUAUCCUGGUGCCUCCCAUUUCCUUCCAGUCAUCAUCACAAACCUCCAACACACCUCCUGUGGAGAAACACCUCUUUGAAAGGCAGUCGCAGUGAGUGGCAUGCUGGCACAGAGAUGGCACUGCACACCUGCAGGCUUUCCAGUGCUAAGCCUAGCACCGCCUGCCUGUGUGCCCUCCCAUGCCGCUCCCACCGCAGCAAGCUGGGCCCACCCCUGUUUCCUCACUGCCAGCUUCAGUGGGCCAGCAAGGGCGUGGCUGACAACAGCUUUGAUUGUUGAACACACUGCCCAGAGUGGCAAUUGCUGCAGAGGACCCCAUCCAUCUGAAAGACAUCACCAACCAAACUCCGGCCCUGGGGUCAAGGCAAGGAUGAUGUGUGGCCUACGCUUGGCCACUGCAAUGCUUUCUUCUGGAACACACCAGGUGGAAGAAACAGCUGAAGGUUUUUCAUCCUGUUAGUGGGUUUCUCUGAUUUGAAGGAAGAAGAGAUUAUGAAAAGAAGAGAACAAGAAGAGAAUGCUGAGUGGGCUGUGGAAUCUGGGUGAAAAAGGAUAUGACAAAGAGGAAAGUCCUAGAGGGUCUAUUCAUCAAGAGAAGACUCAGGAACCUCUAAACUGACAACCACACUCCAAGUCCAGGAAAGGGGCAAGAAAUUUCUUUCUUUCUACAGGGUUCUGUCUACAGACUCCUUUAGGCAUAUUCCUCUCCAGGGGAGUUGUGUUGGUCCUGGGUUCCGGGCUAUAUAUCCAUCAUAAAAUUUUCCUAGCCUGCUCCCCAAACUCUGCAUGUGUUCUCUGAGUCAUCGUGGCCAGGACCUCAGCUGUUGCAGCCCGGGGUCAUUCCCCAUGAGGCGCUCUUCUGCAUAAACAGUGUUAUUCCUCUGAGACCCACCUCCCCAUGCUCUGCUUAUCCUCAAUGCAAUUCAGCACACAAAUGUUGAACGCCUGCUCUAUGCCAGACAAAGCAGGCACAGUGUUCUUAACAAUUUUGAGUCUUGCAUCUCUUUAAAAAUCAUGGCAAAACAUGACAUUAAAAAACAUGACAGCUGUGGACCCUCUUUCUAGAAAAAUGCGUGUAUAUAUGAAUUUUUCUAGGCAAUCUCCGGAAGCCAGAUAAAAUACUCUAGGUUAAGAAGCUGCUGAAUGAAAAGAAAGUGAAUGAGACUUAGACACGUGUGGGGCUGAGACUUAGCUCUGUCAUUUACCAACAGUAGGACCGUGGGGGAGCGCCCCAAACUCUCCGAACCUCAGUUUGUUCAACCCUAAAAUGGGACUGGUAAGACUUGUCUCACCCUCAUGAGAUUGUAGUGAGAUUUUAUCAAAGGAUGGUUAUAGACAUAGAAAAUGUUAUAUCUGAGCACUCCCCACAUAUGUGAAUUGAUAAGGAUUUCAAAAUCUCACCCUUUGGAAGGAGGGAGGUGAAGAUUUGUGAUUGCCAAUGUUUUACAAAUGAAAAUUCUGAGGUAAGCUAAAAUGACAGGCUUUGCCAAAUUGAAUCUAAUCUUAUAAUUCCUCAGGGACAAGAAGACGAUAAAAUAUUAGGGACUAUAGAGUUUUCCAGAUCUGUUUCAGGCUCUGAUCUCGCCUUUGGGAGCCCCCUCAUUUGCCAACAGGGUGAAGAGCAACCUUGGCCCUCAUUCCUGGAAUCAUUUCUGUUGGUUGAUGUCUCUCUGAGGACUGCAAUGCUCACACAGAGAAACCGAUUCAUCUGGAAAUCCAAUACACCCGUGAUUCAUUUGGCUCAGAACUAAUCCGGGAGGAGGUUUCUUGGGGGUAUUAAAAUGUAUUCUCUUCACCUUCAGUGCUUUAAUAGUAGUUCUCCAGGGUUUUUGCCCUUACUUCAGUUCUCCCAAGAUGAUUCUAGGUUGAGAGUUUGGAUGAUGCUGCCAGAAAUAUGAUCGGUUCAGAAUAUCUGAGCCCACAUGCCGUUGUGAAGAAAGUGGUGAAGGAUUCAAGCUUGGCUUCCAUUUGCCUUGGAUAGUUGUAUUGAACCUGGAGCAGAUACUCCACUAAUAGGUGGAUAAGUAGGAAGAACUGGAAAUUUUCUGUUCAAAAUACGGACAGAAUCUGUUCCUGAGAAGUUUCUAGAAGCUCUUUAAAACAUUUGAUUGUGUUUACUUCUAAAAGUAGAGCACAACAGCUUGGUGUACUAAAGGUAUGUCAGCAGCCCUGUGUGCCAAAGGUUUGAACAUCACAAAAGCUUAGGAAGCCAGGGAGGGAGGGAAGAAGGAAGGAAGGAAGGCCAACAGAAAAUCGAAGCCAGUGCAAAUUCAAUGUCAGCAAUUCCCAAAUGAACACGAACCAGAUCCGUAGCUAAUGACGAGAGCGAGAACGUGGUCUUGGAGGCACACCUCGGUGUAGGCUCAGUCGUCUUCUUUACAGGAGCAUUUCAUGGGAGGCAUCUGAAGACACGGACCCUCCCCUUCUUUACUUAAGACUUUUCUGGGCAGAAAAAUAUUGCAUUAAGUCUUUUUUCAGAUGAGCAAACAAAUAACGGCUGUUUGGAGAGUCACUAAAAAUACGGUGUAACAUUAAAAAUUAAAUAAAAAUAGAUCAUAACCCGGAACAUUUUUAUUGGGCUUUAUAGAAAAUCUCAGACUUGGGUAGACUUUCCUGCUUUUGACCCUCACAACAGCCCUGCAAGGCAGAUAAAACAUACAGCUUUUAUUAAUCUCAUUAUGAAAUCAAACUAAGGCUCCAUGGGCUGUAUAAGGCCACAGACUGUCCUGUCUCAGCUUUGUGGUUCUCUUCAAGUCAUCAGGCCACAGCAGGAGAGAAGGAAGAAGCUCUGAAUCGAUAGCUGGCCAUAGGGGAAGAGGAUGGAAAUUGGGACAUGGGCUCCUAUGAGUUCCCACACCAAAGGCCAGACACACUAGGUACAAUCCAGGGCUGCUUGAGUCUUAUGGUCCGAGGGCAAGCACAAAAUGAGGCUGGAUAGGGAAAGCUGAGAUGGCAAGGAGGCCAUUGGAGUGAUCUGCAUGGAUUCCUGAGGAGUUGGAGUGGCCCACAUCCUGUCGUGGGAGCGUUUUGGUAAAGGGUCCGAGGCUCUGCUUCCAUUGGCCUUUGAUGGUUUUGUUGAGAUUUGAACUGGGGCUGGUAGUCCACUAGUGAAUGGGAAGAACUUCAAACCCAGGAUUUUCUAGAUUCUUUAGUCCAGUGCUGUUUCUUCUUCAGUAAGUGUUUUGUGUAGAAAAAACAAAAAUAUGUAUGUGCAUUUUAACGACUUGUCUCUGGCAGCAAAAUGAAAACCGUGAAUCAACUAGAGCCAAGUCCUGUGUGCAGGACAUCCCCGACCUUAAUCAUACAAAGGUGCCUGUCAAAAAGGGGCGGUAAGUGCUGGGAAGUGUCUGCAUCGUGCCUGAACCACUAGGAACUAAAAACAUCCGCUGGAGGGGUGCUUCCUUUCUUCUUCAAGGAGGUAAGUAGAAGUAACCUCCCCACCUAUUGGAGCCAAAAUGCAGCUUCCCAUCGGUGAGCCCAGCAAUCUUUCUUUCCCUUGAACAAGGUUCCCAUGUGGGUUCAUGAGAAGAUGAGUACUUUGGGACAUUAACAGAGGUUAUCCAAAGAAAGGCUUAGGGGCAAAACAUGGUGCUGAGAUAAACAAAGCUUCAGCAGGCUUUUCACUGCAGACCGUUCAGAACCCUUAAUACUCCAGGUACAUUGUGCAGUUCCAGAAGGGGCAUCCGGGAGGGAGGAGUCCCAGAUUUGGCCAUGGACUCUUGCCGUGUGAGAAUCUUGGGAGAAGGGUGUGCUGUAGAACAAAGUUUAUAGCAUGAUUUAGAUCUUCUGAAUACGUUGUAUUCAGAUGAGCAAAGAAAAUGUAGCUGAUCAUUUUUUUUAAAACUAGUCUAAUUUUCUUCAUAACACCCUAUCCUGUUGGGUAAGAGGUAGGAGCGACCAUGUUUAUUUAAGUCCAAUGAACUUGCUUAAAUGCAGUCAUUUAAAGUCUUUCUAGGUCUUUUGGGGAAAGUUCUCAGCUCCCACCUCUGCUCCUCUGAGGUGACAUCUAAGUAUAGGGGAGAGGACUGUAUUCUACAUGGUUAUUGGAGGGAGGGUGGCGUGGUUGGAUAGGUGUGAGUUCCAUUGGUUCCACGCCAGUAUCUGCUGUGGAACAACUGGCUGGGACUGCUGCAUGGUGCUGACCAUUCGGUCUGGGUGCUUUCUUGGUGUCGCUGCUGUCCUCUGCUGCUGCUGUAACUCACAGGCUGGUCUCUCUUAGGUUGACUUGGCCCACCAUUGCUUCUGCUGGCACCACAGACCCUUUUGAGUCUCUGUUCCACUGCUCUGAGGCCAUUUCAUCUCUCACCAAGGCCUCCUGGCACGUCCAUUGGCUCUCAAUUCAGCUUUGUUGUCCCCUGAGAGGGUAACAUGGGGACUGUGGGGUGCCUUCCACAUCACCUAGGAGCCAAACUCCCUCCACUACAUCAUGCUGUGCCCUGAGUUUUCUCUGAUGUGGCUGCACAUGGAAGGUUGGUAUGGGGAGCUCACAGGGGAAUCUCCUCCCAGGGUUCCAAGUGAGACGUGAGGUAGAAAUGCUGUCCCGAGUUUCUCUCCACUCAUCUGCCACACUACCUUAGCCCAGAGGCGUGCCCGCCCAACUGCCGGUUUCUCCUUCCCUAGUCUCUUUUCUUUUCCCAUUGAUUGAGACUCUUUGACCUAAAAGGCUAGGAUCAAUCGAUUGUCUUCAGGCCCACCAGCACUGCACUUCUCCCUAAAGGGUCGGGAUAGAGGGACUUACAAAACCCUUCCCGCAAAGACAAAGCUUGGAUUCCAAGACUAUUUUCUCACUUCAAAAUCCUAGUUCGGAUGCUAGAAGCUAAACGUUAUCUCUUCAUCUUUCUUUGCAUCUAUAAGAUCCCUAAAAUUCCCCAAAGCAAAACAAUUCCCCUUGAAGAAAAAGGAGGAGUCAUCAGUACAAGAAAAAAAUGUAUUUGUAUGUUUUAAAAUAUUAUUUUGAUUAUCUGGGAUUUGCUGCUCAGAGAAUAGUAUGGCCAACCAAAUAGAGUUAGUGGGACCUAAAACAUUUAAUUGAACAAAAUGGGGGAUCGUUCUUAUGAGAGUUAGUGAAAAACAGUUAUUUUCAGUCUGUCCCCAGAGUUACAAAAUGCACAAAGGUAAAAUAAUGACAUGUGUACUGUACUCAACUGCCUCCAGCUGAACUGAGAAAGCCGGAAAUGCCUACUAGUCAGUCACUUCCUUGCCCGGCCUGCUGCAGACUUAAGAACCUUAGCCAAGCCCCAUGUGAACACAGAGCACAGGGCCAGAUGCAUGCUCUCACAGGCUCGCGCUAGGAUCAUAAUCACCCAAUAGGCUUCCAACCUUUAGAGUACUACAGGCCCAGAUUUUAGGGGACUAAGAUGAACAGUUCUACUUGAGAUUGCUCAAAUUUAUAGCUUCUGUGGUUGGAAGAUCUUUUAAAAUUAUUCUUAUAAAAAAUUGCAAACAUAUAGAAAGGAAC